UACGGAGGGUGCAAGCGUUAUCCGGAUUCACUGGGCUUAAAGGGUGCGUAGGCGGACAUUUAAGUCAGUGGUGAAAUCUUUGGGCUUAACCCGAAAACUGCCAUUGAUACUAUUUGUCUUGAAUUCUCUGGAGGUAAGCGGAAUAUGUCAUGUAGCGGUGAAAUGCUUAGAUAUGACAUAGAACACCAAUUGCGAAGGCAGCUCACUACGGAAUUAUUGACGCUGAGGCACGAAAGCGUGGGGAUCAAACAGG
rnacentral:rRNA from 1 species